AUAAUUUAAUAUUAAAAUAAAAUAAUUGGUUUUUAUGUUUAUAAAAAAAAAUUUUUAUGUUCAAGUAAUUUUAUAUAAAAAAAUAAUUUUAGUUUACUGGCAAGGAAAAAUUUAUAAAUAAUUAUAAGUAAAAUAUAAUUUGUACCUUUUGUAUCAGGGUUAAUUAAAAAAUUUUAAAAAUUUAUUUUUCCCGAAAUAUAAUGAUUUAGAAUAAUUUGUUAGUUAUUAUUGUAUAUAUAUUAAUAAAUUUAUUCUGGAAAUGAUAUUUUAUCAAAUUAUAUGAUAUCUGGUUUUUUGGGAAUUGAAUUUAAUUCAGAAGAAAUAUUAUGACUAAUAUUUAUUUAUUAAAUUUUAUAUUUCUUUAAACUUACUUAGGAUAAGCUGAUUAUGUAUAUCUAUAAUUAAUUAUUAAUAAUUAAUUUAAUAGGCUUGAAAACAGCCAUAAAUACUCUUUUAGCAAAAAAAAUUUUCACCUGUUUAUCAAAAACAUGUCUUUUAGUAUGAAUUAAAAGUCUAAUCUGCCCAAUGAUUUAAAUUAAAUGGCCGCGGUAAAUUGACCGUGCAAAGGUAGCAUAAUAAAUAGUCUUUUAAUUGGAGGCUUGAAUGAAUGAUUGAAUGAAAAAUUGACUUAAUUAACGUUAAUAAUUGAAAUUGAUUUUUAAGUAAAAAAGCUUAAAUAUAUGAGUGGGACGAGAAGACCCUAUAGAAUUUUUAAAAUUUUCUUUAAUUUAUUUUAUAUAGCUAAUUAAUUUCUUUAUUUAAGUAAUUUUUUUGUUGGGGUGAUAUUAAAAUAUAAUUAACUUUUAAUAAAAGUUUCAUAAAUAUAUGUAAUUAUUGAUCCAAAAUUUUGAUUAUAAGAAUAAAUUACCUUAGGGAUAACAGCGUAAUUAAUUUGAAGAGUUCAUAUCGAUAAAUUAGAUUGCGACCUCGAUGUUGGAUUAAGAAUAGAAAUUGGAGCAAAAUUUAUUAUUUCUGGGUCUGUUCGACCCUUAAUAUUCUUACAUGAUCUGAGUUCAAACCGGCGUGAGCCAGGUUGGUUUCUAUCUACUCAACUAUUUUUAAUGUUAGUACGAAAGGACCUCAUUAAAUAAUUUUAUUAU
rnacentral:rRNA from 1 species